GUUUUGGGCGUUUGGGAGGGGGCGAGGGAGCUAGAGUCAGGAGAGGGAGGCGGCGGCGGGGAGGAGGAGGAGGAGCAGGCGCCGCCAUGGCUGCCGCUAUCACCGACAUGGCCGACCUGGAGGAGCUCUCUCGCCUGAGCCCUCUGCCCCCCGGCAGCCCUGGCCCGGCGGCGCGGGGCCGGGCUGAGCCCCCCGAGGAGGAGGAGGAAGAGGAGGAGGAGGAAGAGGAGGCCGAGGCCGAGGCGGUGGCAGCGCUGCUGCUGAACGGCGGCGGCGGUGGGGGCGGCGGCGGCGGAGUGGGGGGCGGCGAGGCGGAGACGAUGUCGGAGCCGAGCCCCGAGAGCGCCAGCCAGGCCGGGGAGGACGAGGACGAAGAAGAGGACGAGGAGGAGGAGGACGAGAGCAGCAGCAGCGGCGGGGGCGAGGAGGAGAGUAGCGCCGAGAGCCUGGUGGGCAGCAGCGGCGGGAGCAGCAGCGACGAGACGCGCUCGCUGAGCCCCGGCGCCGCCAGCAGCAGCAGCGGGGAUGGGGACGGCAAGGAGGGCCUGGAGGAACCCAAGGGACCGCGGGGCAGCCAGGGCGGCGGCGGGGGCGGCAGCAGUAGCAGCAGCGUCGUCUCUAGUGGCGGCGACGAGGGCUACGGGACCGGGGGAGGCGGAAGCAGCGCGACCUCCGGGGGCCGGCGAGGCAGCUUGGAGAUGUCGUCGGAUGGGGAACCCCUGAGCCGCAUGGACUCGGAGGACAGCAUAAGCAGUACUAUAAUGGAUGUAGACAGCACAAUUUCCAGUGGGCGUUCAACUCCAGCAAUGAUGAAUGGACAAGGAAGCACUACUUCUUCAAGCAAAAAUAUUGCCUAUAAUUGUUGUUGGGACCAGUGCCAGGCUUGCUUCAACUCUAGUCCAGAUCUGGCAGAUCACAUCCGUUCCAUACAUGUAGAUGGUCAGCGAGGAGGGGUAUUUGUUUGCUUAUGGAAAGGUUGCAAAGUAUAUAACACUCCGUCAACCAGUCAGAGUUGGUUACAGAGGCAUAUGCUGACACACAGUGGAGACAAACCUUUCAAAUGUGUUGUUGGUGGCUGCAACGCCAGCUUUGCUUCUCAGGGAGGGCUAGCUCGCCAUGUACCCACACACUUCAGUCAGCAGAACUCCUCAAAAGUUUCUAGCCAGCCAAAGGCCAAAGAAGAAUCUCCUUCUAAAGCUGGGAUGAACAAAAGGAGAAAAUUAAAGAACAAAAGACGACGCUCAUUACCACGACCACAUGAUUUCUUCGAUGCACAAACACUGGAUGCGAUAAGACAUCGAGCCAUAUGCUUUAACCUCUCAGCUCAUAUAGAAAGUUUAGGGAAGGGACACAGUGUUGUUUUUCAUAGUACUGUAAUAGCUAAGAGAAAAGAGGAUUCUGGAAAGAUAAAACUUUUGCUUCAUUGGAUGCCUGAAGACAUUCUGCCUGACGUGUGGGUGAAUGAAAGUGAACGACAUCAAUUAAAAACUAAAGUAGUUCAUUUAUCAAAGCUACCCAAAGAUACUGCCUUGCUUUUGGAUCCAAACAUAUACAGUGUGCUGUGCUUAUGAAGGUAUAGGGGGGGAAGGAGAAGAGACCAACAUUUCUGACUAUGUGCUGAGUCACUUUGCUAGGUGCUUUACAUAUACUUCAUCCUCACAGCAGCCUGUGAAAACAAUGCCGCAGAAGAGGUUGAAGAGGUAAAAAAUAAAUAAAUACAUAAAAAGCAAACAAGCGGGGACACCUGCAGUCUUAGUCACUGACAAUGGGUUUAGUAAAAGUUGCACAUUAGAGUCAACCCCUUUCCUUUUUUUUUUCUUAAAUCCAGUAUUUAGAAUAAUAUUUAUGCUUAGUGUAAACAUUCUGUGAAUGAAGUAGGCUCUUCUGUGGAAUAUAUUAAUAUAUUACUGUAUAUCCACAUUUUCAUGGAAUGGUACUGUGGGAGACUGAGCAAACACUUUUCUGGCAACUUAGUGGAACAGCUUCUUAAAGGCUUUGCAUGCUUGCUGCUUUAAGCUGCUUUUUUUCCCCCCUUUUAGCGAUUACAGUAGUUUAUAUUGGAAAGAAAACAAUUACAACAUGUGCCCUUAAAAAUACCAAAAGCACUGUAAGGAUAUUUGUCUUGACAGUGUCUAUUGAUUUGAAGUCAUAUUAGGAAAUAUUUAGACAAUGAAAAUUAUCAAGAGAUAAUUUACCUUUCAACUAUGAUAAAUAGAUGUGAUUGGUUGCCAUUUGUGUUCUUUUGCAGAACUCUGAUAAGAAAAGUGUUCAAUUUGUAUUUAAGCAAACAGUGAACGACAUUUGCAAUCAACUAAAAAUUCGUCUAUCGAAUUAGGGCUGAAAAUUUCUGUUAAAGAGUGUUGCAGUAUGUCUGGUGGCUCCCUUUUCAGGACUAGGGUUUUCUCAUGGAGUACAGUAUGUUAAUAUUUACCUAUAUAACUAAUCUGUUAACGGUUUUUGAAAAACCUCUAUUUCAAAUUAUUUGAAUAAUCCUCAUAUUUUCAUUUUAACCUAUAUAAGCCUCUAAUUUUUUUUUUUCUGAGGAAAGCAUUUGGUUUAUGAGUUGUUUUUUCUUAACGUAAGAAAAAUUGUAUUUUUUUUUUUUUUUUAAGUUUUUUCAAACUGAAUCCUUUAUGCACCAAAGUUGGUUUUGAAAAGGAAAAUAAAAUCACUUUCUUGCUUGGUAAGCAAGAAGCCAUAUGGAUUUUUUUUAACUUACAGAAAUGGAAAUAUGUGUAACUUGUUAGUAUUGUAUCAAACAAAUGUUGCAUAGAGAUAAUAGAACAUUGCUUGUAAAUAAUUCAGCAGAUUUGUAAUAUAUUUUUAUAUUAUGAAAUGUACUGUAGAUGUUUUUCUAGAGGCAUGAAAGUUAAAUGUAUAUAUUAUGGGUAGAAAUAAUAUUGAAGGAUAUUGUAAUUCACUAGUGCUGCCAGAGGAAUUGUUAAUAAAGCACCUUCUUUAACAAUAAAUGUCUUUGCAGACUUAAGGGACUAUGUACUACUGUUAAUAUCUAUAAGAACAAAACACAUUGAACAUCCUUCCAGAAAGUCUUUGAGGGAGGACCUAUACCCAUAAUAGAAUUAUGGCACUCAUUUCUGACAGUGACCGUGAAAUCAAUUAUUUCCUUACUGUUGGAAGGACAUAUUGUAAAGUAUAUGUGGUUAUAUGCAGUCAAACUGCAGAAAAUACUCCUGAUUGAGGAGUUUUCACUUUACUACAGUGAUAUAAAAACCAGCAAUUUUUACACUAAAUUUUUUAAAGAAUAGACAAAAAUAUAGAAUUAAGCCUUUGGUUCCAAAAUGGGAAAGGUUCCAUGAUACAUAAGUCAUUUCUCAUUUACUUUAAAAAAUUUUAAAAAGAAUAAAAAUUAUGGGAGACUUUAUUCGUUAACAGUGGGGUAAAGAGCUAUAUACAUGAAAUGAGUCAUAUAAAAUUUAAAUGAAGUGCAAAUAAAAGCACUGCUACUAGAAGACAUUCUGGAAUGGUUGUUUAAUAAGGGUAUUAUCCAUUUGAUCUGUAGCAAAUGUGAUUUUAUUUUUGAAAAGAAAAGAAAAGCAGUGUGUUUUACUUUUUUUUUGUUUUCUUUUGCUUAAGCACUUCAUCAAUUGCUUUAUUCUGUAUCUACGAAGUAAUCUGCAAUCUCCUUUGUUCUUUUAAAAUUUUGAUUUGUUAUAAAAUUGCCAAAUAGAAGUGUUUCAGAUAUAUAGUUUGUACCUGUAUUUUUUAUUUUAUUGCCUCAUGUUCUUGUAAGUCAUUCUUAAUUGACCGAUGAUUGUAGACCUUGCCUGAGUAUUUUUUCUAAUAAAACAAAGCAAAUCACAUUUAGCUUCAAAA